rnacentral:lncRNA from 1 species
CAGUGAGCUGGGGGAAGGCUGGGAAGAAAAAUUUGAUAUGGAAACUUGCUGGAAAAAAAAAAUAAAUCACCGUGUUCUGUCUCUGUUGGAGUCAUAAAAGUUACACAAGGUACAAGUGAAAUCAACUCAGCAUCACUGGAUCCAUUAAUGAAGUAUGUGCAAUGGCUUCACACUGCACUGCCUUGAGAUUUUCACUUUGACUGGGAUUACCUCUUGUUUCUGUUGAAAUGUUCAAUCAGUUCUAUCUGUAAUUCCUUGCAUGUGUUCUCAACGCCCAGCCAGGUCUGAGGUUUUGUGGCACUGAUAUUUGGACUGCAAGCUGUAUGCUUGGGUUGACCAAGGACAAUGACAUUUUGUAGCAACUUUGACAGUUUCACUACAUGAUUUUUUUUCUGCCAAUUUAUUGAAAAUGGAUUCAGUCACUGACAUGCAAAUCCAGUGGUAAAGUGAAAUGUUCUCUCUUGCAGAGCAGGUGCACAUCUGGAUCCCCACAGCGCACUCUGCUAAAGCCCUUCCCAGAACUGCAAUGCACAGGCAGAUUUUAAAUCCAUGGGCCACUUUUUUGAAAUUACAUCCAAACAUUGUUGCAGCAGACUUUGUUCUUUUGUUUCGCUGCUGGUUCGGUAUGUCCUACUGGCAACUGAAAAGCAUCCGUGGGGAUGGAGUAAUGAGGACCAGGAUUUCAGUCCAGCCUGACACUGACCAUCACUUAAGGGCUGAUGACUACAAGGAGCAGCCGGGCCAAUUCUGCUCUGACAUUGCAAGGUUUGUCAGGGAAUACUUCUCACUACAAAAUGAAUGGCUGUUGGCUGACAGUCUGUAUUAUUUUGCAACAUUUUCCUCUCAAGGUGUCCAAAAUUUGAUCUCAGCACACACUGUCAGCGAAAUCCUUUCCUGCACUGUAGGGCCAGCACAAGACCUGUGGCUCAGUUUACUCCUUUGGAGGGCUGCAGGUUCACUCCACACACAUCUGCAUUUCACCCCUUCUUUCUGUUUUUGUAAGCAGGAUGCUACAAAGCCCAAACAGCCAUCUAUAGUUAUGCAAGGACCCCCCAAAAAAAUUGCCACCUGUGUCUACACACCCAAAUAUUUAGAUGGCCAACUAACCUCUUAAAAUUUGUAUCAGGGUCUUAAAAACUUGCUGAGCAAGCCCUGUAGCCCUGUUUUUGUUUGUUUGUUUGUUUGUUUGCUUUCCUGGGCAUUUUUGGAAUAUAUUGACUUACUCUUUUAAACCUUUGCCUAAAUAUUGGAAGAACAGUUUUCUUUAUCAUAUUUUAGUCUUUCCUUUUCUAAUCUGGGGGUGCUUCUUCACCCCUGCACUUCGCUGCACACUGCAGCACAUGCCUAAUCCCAGUGAAUUAAUGGGUAGAUGAAAAUGCUUUACAGAAUGGUGGAACUGUGUGAGAACUUGGAAAAAAUGCAGCUCAAGUUGCCUGGAAUAUUUGAACCUUCCAAAAUAUUCGAUGUAUGUAUUUUUUUAAGAGUUUAUGUCCAGUCUUGUUUCUCAGUAAAUUUUAAUUAUUAGUGACCAACAACCUAUCAGAAGUACACCAGGCACAGCCAGCUACACUAUGUGACUUUAUUAGACCAGUAGCUUUGAAAUAAACCUAAAAACCAGAGCA